ensembl:ncRNA C14F11.19 ncRNA
AUUUUUCGUUUGCUACAUAAUUGAAUAACUGGUAUUCGGGUGGUAUUGAGGUAACAAUUUGAGAUAUCAAGUAGUAAAGUGAAAAGGCAGAUUUUAGGACGGAAAUUGAAAGGAAAUUUUAAUUUUUUUUAAAUUAAGAAACUUGGCAAGGAGUGAAAAAUGUUUUUACAAUGCGAAAAGAAGAACUCAAUGUUUCCCCAACAGCUAUAAAACUGAUAAUUUAGC